rnacentral:rRNA from 1 species
UGGGGAAUUUUGGACAAUGGGCGAAAGCCUGAUCCAGCAAUGCCGCGUGUGUGAAGAAGGCCUUCGGGUUGUAAAGCACUUUUGUCCGGAAAGAAAUCCUUGGCUCUAAUACAGUCGGGGGAUGACGGUACCGGAAGAAUAAGCACCGGCUAACUACGUGCCAGCAGCCGCGGUAAUACGUAGGGUGCAAGCGUUAAUCGGAAUUACUGGGCGUAAAGCGUGCGCAGGCGGUUUGCUAAGACCGAUGUGAAAUCCCCGGGCUCAACCUGGGAACUGCAUUGGUGACUGGCAGGCUAGAGUAUGGCAGAGGGGGGUAGAAUUCCACGUGUAGCAGUGAAAUGCGUAGAGAUGUGGAGGAAUACCGAUGGCGAAGGCAGCCCCCUGGGCCAAUACUGACGCUCAUGCACGAAAGCGUGGGGAGCAAACAGGAUUAGAUACCCUGGUAGUCCACGCCCUAAACGAUGUCAACUAGUUGUUGGGGAUUCAUUUCCUUAGUAACGUAGCUAACGCGUGAAGUUGACCGCCUGGGGAGUACGGUCGCAAGAUUAAAACUUAAAUGAAUUG